UACGAAGGGGGCUAGCGUUGCUCGGAAUCACUGGGCGUAAAGGGUGCGUAGGCGGGUCUUUAAGUCAGGGGUGAAAUCCUGGAGCUCAACUCCAGAACUGCCUUUGAUACUGAAGAUCUUGAGUUCGGGAGAGGUGAGUGGAACUGCGAGUGUAGAGGUGAAAUUCGUAGAUAUUCGCAAGAACACCAAUGGCGAAGGCGGCUCACUGGCCCGAUACUGACGCUGAGGCACGAAAGCGUGGGGAGCAAACAGG
rnacentral:rRNA from 1 species